UGCAAGCAAAAGAAGAAAUACCUAGCUCUGGGGGAGAAGCGGGAAGAAUCGUUUCCAGCAGCUCAGAGGGAAAAAUAAAACCGCACACUUUGUUCAGUUCUUCACAGUAACUGUCACAUACCUCUGGUGCUUAUGAAUUGUUGGCCUCCUACUUGUGAAAGAAAUCUAACACUGUCCUCACCACUUACAG